rnacentral:misc_RNA from 1 species
GUUAAGAACUUUUUUUCGUCCUUUUUUUUAAAUUCAUUUUCCCAUCUUUUUUUUUCAUCAUGUUUUUUUUUAUUAUUUAUAUAAUUAUUAUGGUUAUGUUGCAUAUCAGGUAGUUAAUAUACAGUGUAAAUUUCUGCCAGGAACCAAACUAUUACAUCAAAAUGAAGGACAACUGAUUUAUGAAUAUUAGAUAUCAUAUUUAAUCAAAACAUUCCAUCACAAAGUAUUUAAGAGAAGUAGGUAGUUUUCUGUUUGUAUUUUUUUUAUGCUAGAUAGAUUUAAAACAUCGGUCAUAUCUAAUAGAAAAAUAAGUUUUAAAAACCACUGUUGUUAAUUAAUGCUUUAUGGUAUUUGCGUCCUGUUUCCUCCGGCCAUUUUAAGGUUUAGGAUUUCAGACCUAUGUUAAUCACACUGCUUAUUGAACAGAACUGUACCCGUGUGUGCCAUCAGAGCGGACUACUUUCUGAUUCAGCUAUGUACUCCAUAUUUAUUAUAUUUAUAGCUUUAUAGUUUUCAAAUGGAAAUGGUCAAAAAUUAAAUUAGUAUGUGU